rnacentral:rRNA from 1 species
GUCGAGAAUCUUCCACAAUGCGCGAAAGCGUGACGGAGCGACACCGCGUGAUGGAUGAAGUCCUUCGGGGCGUAAACAUCUUUUAUAAAGGAGGAAAUUUUUGACGUUACUUUAUGAAUAAGGGGCUCCCAAUCUCGUGCCAGCAGGAGCGGUAAUACGAGAGCCUCAAGCGUUAUCCGGAAUCAUUGGGCGUAAAGGGUGCGUAGGUGGUUUGAUUAGUCUCCCGUUAAAACUUCGAGCUUAACUCGAAAAGAGCGGGGGAAACGGUCAAACUAGAGUAUGUGAGAGGUGUGUGGAACUCAUGGUGUAGGGGUGAAAUCCGUUGAUAUCAUGGGGAACACCAAAAGCGAAGGCAGCACACUGGCACAUCACUGACACUGAGGCACGAAACCUAAGGUAGCGAAUGGGAUUAGAAACCCGGGUAGUCC